AUGCAAGUCGAGCGGGGAAGGUAGCUUGCUACUGGACCUAGCGGCGGACGGGUGAGUAAUGCUUAGGAAUCUGCCUAUUGGUGGGGGACAACAUCUCGAAAGGGAUGCUAAUACCGCAUACGUCCUACGGGAGAAAGCAGGGGAUCUUCGGACCUUGCGCUAAUAGAUGAGCCUAAGUCGGAUUAGCUAGUUGGUGGGGUAAAGGCCUACCAAGGCGACGAUCUGUAGCGGGUCUGAGAGGAUGAUCCGCCACACUGGGACUGAGACACGGCCCAGACUCCUACGGGAGGCAGCAGUGGGGAAUAUUGGACAAUGGGCGCAAGCCUGAUCCAGCCAUGCCGCGUGUGUGAAGAAGGCCUUAUGGUUGUAAAGCACUUUAAGCGAGGAGGAGGCUACUUUAGAUAAUACCUAGAGAUAGUGGACGUUACUCGCAGAAUAAGCACCGGCUAACUCUGUGCCAGCAGCCGCGGUAAUACAGAGGGUGCAAGCGUUAAUCGGAUUUACUGGGCGUAAAGCGCGCGUAGGCGGCUAAUUAAGUCAAAUGUGAAAUCCCCGAGCUUAACUUGGGAAUUGCAUUCGAUACUGGUUAGCUAGAGUGUGGGAGAGGAUGGUAGAAUUCCAGGUGUAGCGGUGAAAUGCGUAGAGAUCUGGAGGAAUACCGAUGGCGAAGGCAGCCAUCUGGCCUAACACUGACGCUGAGGUGCGAAAGCAUGGGGAGCAAACAGGAUUAGAUACCCUGGUAGUCCAUGCCGUAAACGAUGUCUACUAGCCGUUGGGGCCUUUGAGGCUUUAGUGGCGCA
rnacentral:rRNA from 1 species